UACGUAGGGUGCGAGCGUUGUCCGGAAUUACUGGGCGUAAAGAGCUCGUAGGUGGUUUGUCGCGUUGUCCGUGAAAACUCACAGCUUAACUGUGGGCGUGCGGGCGAUACGGGCAUCACUGGAGUUCGGCAGGGGAGACUGGAAUUCCUGGUGUAGCGGUGAAAUGCGCAGAUAUCAGGAAGAACACCCGGUGGCGAAAGCGG
rnacentral:rRNA from 1 species